CAGUCGCCGCGGUAAUACGUAGGGUGCGAGCGUUAAUCGGAAUUACUGGGCGUAAAGCGUGCGCAGGCGGUUCGUUAAGACAGAUGUGAAAUCCCCGGGCUUAACCUGGGAACUGCAUUUGUGACUGGCGGGCUAGAGUAUGGCAGAGGGGGGUAGAAUUCCACGUGUAGCAGUGAAAUGCGUAGAGAUGUGGAGGAAUACCGAUGGCGAAGGCAGCCCCCUGGGCCAAUACUGACGCUCAUGCACGAAAGCGUGGGGAGCAAACAGGAUUAGAUACCCCUGUAGUCCCUGUCUCUUAUAA
rnacentral:rRNA from 1 species